ACACUGCUGGAUAGUAGCGGUCUAGUUCCAGAAACAAACGCUGAAGCCAUUAGGGUGGCUAGGUCAAGAGGGGUACAAACAAUCAUUGCAACAGGAAAGUCCCGCGCUGCAGUUAUUGAAGUUCUUGGCAAGGUUAAUUUAGUUGGCACAUGUGUCGUUUCAAAAUUGUUAGCUGGGUGCAAUAGCUUGGCACUUUUCUAUGCUAGCAGGGUUUGGUUUGUUAGUUUAAGGCGAGGGGGCCAAAAGUUAUAUCAAAAGAAUUUGGAUAUAGAAGUGUGCAGAGAGGCGCUUCUAUACUCUCUGGAGCACAGAGUUGCCCUGGUGGCCUUCAGCCAGGACGACUGCUACACAACGUUUGAUGAUAAUCCUCUGGUGGACUUUUUCCUGGUGUACCACGAACCAAAGGUGCGGCGGCAUAAGUUUGUGUUCUUAGAAACUCCGGAAGCGAUCUCGUCUAUGCUGAGGCCACACUGGGCAAGGAGGGUUGAUGGAAUGGCACAGGUCAUUCUCAUUCAGGCACAGAGUGAUGUGCUUGAAGUUGUACCGCUCAGGACUUCCAAAGGAAACGGGGUCAUGGCACUAGGCGAUGGAGAAAACGAUAAAGAGAUGCUCCAACUUGCCGACCUCUUGGUGUUGUGCUCUCCAAUGGCUGCGAGGUGA
rnacentral:lncRNA from 1 species